AGAAAAAAGAAAAAAUGGGCGGGGCAUACCUCGCUAAAUAAAGAAAGUGCAUUGGUAAAUAAAUGUCAACUGUUUUGGAGGAAGAACUACAUCAACAAGUGCCAUCCAAACUGCUCCACCUGCAAGCGUAGGACAAACAGCACCCAAAGGGCGAGGCAGACACAGUGAAGGGAAUGGAAACUACAGCAAGAAAAGGGAUAACAAGGCCUCCACUUAAUUUCCUAUCCAUUUUGAAUGAAGCUGGGAUUAAAAUUGACACGUCUUGUCCGGACAAGCUGUGUGAUCAACUCUAUGCUGGAAUUUUCUUGAAGCCCAAAUUAUUGGCAAGUUCCUUAUCCAUUUACUUAUGAUAAUUUUUUAAUGAUUCGAUUUCAAAGUGAUCUUCUGAAUUAUUCCUCAUUAGUUAUUACCUUCUUAAUUAUGAAAUCCCACCCAAAAAAAAAAAAAAAAAACCAAUAUGUAAUAUUAGUCCACCAACACAAUUUAUGUUUAAUAAAUCCUAAUAUGUUCUGAUGUAAAGAUGGUUUAUUCAAUUAAAUGGAGAUAAAUAUGUGGUUUGAAGUGAGUCCAGGAACUUUGGCUAGUUUGUGAGCAAAAUCUUGUUACCACUACUCCUCACAUGAGUUACAGACCAACUUUGCAUGACAGAUGAGUAGCUUGUGAACUGUCUCAAUAGUACAAUGACCGAAAAUGGUUGAGAUUGCCCACCUUUCUGUAAUGGCUGAACAAGUGAUUGUUAUCGAAUCACUCUCCACCACCAUUUACCUGAUUGGGAAAAUCUACAUCUUCUUUCAAUGCCACUGCUUCAACCUCACUUGCAUUCCUCAAGUAGCACCCGUUUUUACUCGGCCGCAAUCAAGUCUCCCUUCUCAAUUUGCCACCAGUUUACUUCAAUAAUGACCUUCCCAGUUUCCAAAUUCCAAUAUACUUCCCCUAGCACAAGAGCUAGUAGGGCUAACCCAUGAAGGAACAGAAUGGGUGGUACCUGACGUUGAGGACUCUUUGUAAUAGACAGCCAGUGAUGGUCAACAGUUUCCACCCUUGCUUGGCUUGCAUUGCCUUGUUGAAUGCUUUGAAGUUUCGUAAACCCAGCCAGUCUAUGGACUCACAUACUGUGUAGCCCAUUUGAGCCUACCGAUUUUUCUUUCAUCUUGCUUUUGCCCGCACCAAAAUUAGUUAAUCAUGGUGUUUAACUUGUCACAAAGCUUAUUUGGAAUUUGAGAACACUCAUAAUGUAUCUGGGCGUUACUUGAUCUUCAACUUUGAUAAGAAUGUCUCUUCCUGCCUUCGACAGUAGGUUCUCUUUCCAUACCUAUAGCUUCUUAACUAGUCUCACCUUUAUUUCUCAUAAAGCUUGAUAUUUGGAUUGUCUAAUCAUUGAUGGGAGGCCUAAAUAUUUCUUGUGUUGCCUAAUGACUAGUAUGAUAAAUUAGUUUUUGGACAAUGAUUGGUUUACAUUGUGCUAUCAAGAUAAACUAAUAAUUUUCCUUAGUUCUUUAUUUUCUCUUGCAUCUACCUGGCAUUUUAUUGCUAAAGAAUAAUGACAUUUUGUCCUCAGUGAUCUUCUACAGUUCUACCUUGCGACCUCUUUAUAGAAUAUGGGCCAAGCUAAGUGUUUGGUACAUUCAAUGUCAUUGGCCCUAAAAAAACAAAAUACCAUCAUUUGCAAGGAAUAGAUGGGUGAGUGUAGGGCCUUUGUGGCUUAUCACCACUCCAUAUGGUCAACCUGCAUUUUCAGCUUGUCUAAUGAGGCCUGAGAAGGCUUCUACACAUAGAAGAAACAAAUAAGGGCAAGAGGGGGUCACCUUGAUGGAGUCCCCUUAUUGGAGUCAUGUAACCCUGGGGCUCACCAUUGAUUAGGACAUAAUAAAUUGUUGUGUUGAUACAUGUCAAAAUCCAUUUGUCGUGAAAUCCCAUUUUGGCCAUAAUUUUCUUCCAAGUAGACCUGCUUUACUCAUCUCAAGUUUUAGGGCCAUAAAAUUGUGUUUCCCUUUACGAUUGUGGUCCAUGUAGUUUAGUGUAUAAGAGCACAUUGUUCAUUAUUUGUCAACCUGAUGCAAAGGCACUUUAGUUUUCAGCUAUACUAUUUGGGAGAAUUAUUUUGAACUAUUAGCUAGAGCUUUGGUCAUAAGUUUGCAUAGAAAGUUGGGAUGAUAAUUGGUCAUUUUUCUAGGCCUUUUGUUUUUAGGAACUAAAGCAAUAUAUGAAUAAUUGAUUUAUUUAACACAGGCCCGAGUUUGAUGUUGCAAAAGGACUGCUUUCACUGUAUCAUAACCAACAGUACUUAAAUAUGUGUGUAUAGAUAUAUAUAUAUAUAGCAAAUAUACCGUUGGGUCAAGGAUCUUUGGUAGGGUGCAUUUGGAAUAGGGCAGUGGAGACCUCCUCAGCCUUGAACUUCUAUGUCAGCAUCCUAUCAUGUCAUCUAUGACUAGCUUGUCCACUGCACUCAUAAUUGGGUUGAGUUUUGUUGGUGUGGAACUAUAAUAUAUUUCAUUGAAGUUCUAUGUUGCCACUUCCUCCUCCUUUGACACAUCACUAUGCCACACUAGCUAUGUUAGAUUCCUUGUAUCAUAUUCCUUCUUCCUCUUUGUGUAGCCUCAAAAUAAAAAAAAAAUAAAAAAAAAUUGUGUUCCUUUCUCCGUCCUACUGACAUUGGAUUCAAGAUCAUUGAUUCCAUCAUAUUUCAUCUAGCUCCAAUAGAUUGUUUAUUUCUUGCUUCAGCCAUUUAAGCUCCUUGGACUCUGUCAUUGCAAUUUGGUUUGCCCUGUUCUAAUAUUCCUCCAACUUUUUGUUGACUCUUUUUUAAGUGAGUGCUGGUCCCAUUUUAUACCACGAUUGUUGUGCAUUCCACACCUUUUUUGUUUUUUACCACUUGUGGCUCAUAUAAAUCCUCUUCCUCUAUGUUUGCCAAGCUUGGUUGAUCUUUUCAUUAGAUUUCAAUUACUGCUUCUAUGUUGCUUCAGACUUGAACUGAUAUUGUGGAAGCUUUCCAUAAACAUAUUCAUCCAUGCUAUGUUUGCAACCCAUCUAUCAAUUCUCUCCUGUACCUUUUAAUCUCCCUCUCUUUGAUUGCACAGAGUGAACCUGGUUCCUUGAAAUCCAAGUCCUUCAUUUCCCACCUAGGAUGAUCAUUUGGGCCUUCUCUCUCGAUUAUUUCAACUAUCACAUUAAAAUUUCCUCUGCACAUCCAUGGGAAGCCACUGUGGUCGUGGAGUGUCCUUAGUAGCUCCCGAUGUUUUGUUUCUUUGUGAAACCAAGGAUUCCGAGGAGCACAUGGAUCAGGUAAAAUGGUAUGUAGGUUUCUCCACUGAAGUUCUUAUAGAUGCCAAAGGAUUAGUCAGAGGUUUAUGUUUAAUAUGGAAAGCUAGAGUUGUUGUUGAACUUGUUGAAUUCAAUAAAAUAUGAUUGUGGUGAAAAUAAGAAAAAGUCUUGAGAGAACAUCUCCGCCUUGCUUGAAUCUCUCCAAAGCCCUUGGGUUUGUAUGGAGAACUUUAAUUUCAUCCUCCAUGAAGAUGAAAAGUUUGGGGAAAAAAGUGGAGGCCCUUCAGCAAAUAACUUCCUUCGGGAUCUAAUGUUUGAUUCAGGAGUUAUUGAUUUAGGUUUCUUGGGUAGCCAGUUUACUAGGCCAAGGGAAGGUGGGGAAACGCAGCUUUAAAAAGAAUAUUGGACAGAGCAAUUUCAAGUAUAUCUUGGAGAUUAGCCUAUCCAAAAGCUACCAUCACCCACCUCAGACCAAUUAUUUCUGAACACACCCCAAUCCUUCUUGACACUAGCCCCACAGACUCAUUCGCCUAUAUACCUUUUCGCUUUGAGGCGGCCUGGAUUAGAGAUCUUGCUUGUUACUCUGUGGUUGAUGAGGCCGCCAGAAAAGCUCUAAGAAAGUGGAACAAAGAGGGUUUUGGUUGAUGCCAAGAUAGAACAAACACUUUAAUAAAGAUAAAUCAAGAAGGUACAAGAAAGAGGCAGCUCAGUGGCCAAUGGUAAGGUAGAGGCAGUGUUAUAAGCAGAGCUAGCAAAGUGGCUCACUAAAAGUGAGAUCCUUUGGAGACAAAAAUCCAAAGAAUUGUAGCUAAAGUUUGGUGACAAGAACUAAGCUUUUUCAUUUAUCAACCAUUAUACAGAGAUGCUGAAAUAACAUCAAUGCCAUUAAAAACUCAAGGAUCUUGGAUAUCUGACUUAGGGAAAAUAAGGCAGCUACUCCCAGAUUGUUUCAAAAGCGUUGUCCCCACAACUUGGAUUUACUUAUUUCACCCGCCAUCACAGAAGCCGAUAAUUCUCUUCUUGCUAGCAUUCGGCACCCCUGAACAGAUUAAGCACACAUUUUUCAAAUGGAAGAUCAAAAGUCCCCAGGUCCUUAUGGGUUCCCUGCCAUCUUCUACGAAGAAUAUUGGCCUACUGUUGGAGAGACCAUGAUUAAAGCAGCCACAUCUUUGCCUGAGGAAAUAAGCAGCUCCUUAAAAGUGCUAAUAUCCAAAACACAAAGCUUCUCGACCAUUAAUAAUUUUAGACUUAUAAGCUUGUGCAGCAUUGUCUACAAGAUAAUCUCAAAGCUUCUAGUGUCCAAGAUUAGACUGCUUCUCCAGAAACUAAUUUCACCCAAUCAAUCAGCCUUCAUUCUUGGGAGAUGGAUAGCAAAAAUCAGGCAUUGUUCAAGAAAUGCUUCAUAGUUUCAAGACCAGGAAAAUUAAAUCCAGACUAAUGGCAAUCAAGCUUGACCUCCAAAAAGCGUACAAUAGAAUGAACUGGAAAUUCUCCAUGCAGUGCUUCUCAAGUUCGAUUUCAAUGAAAUUUUCUCAAAUUGGAUCAUGGCUUGCGUAUCCUCUGUCUUUGAGGUUCUUGUUAAUGGUGGGAAAUCUUAGACCAAGCAGAGGAUUGCGACAAGGAGGCCUUUGUCUUCUUAUCUUUUCAUCUUGGGGCAAGAAGCACUGCCGAAGAUGCUUGAGCAUGAAU